UUUGGCCUUUUAUCUCCCAAAAAUCCUUCUCGUUCUCUGUCUCUCUCUCCUCCUCUUCCUAUCCAGUCUCCACCACCACCGGUCCACCAACAUCACCCAACAACCACCCACUAUUUCUCCAGAAUCACCCUAACGUCGUCGCAUCACUCUCUCUCCUCUUCACUAUCACUACUACAAAUCCCGCUAAUUCUCGACGAUAUCUGCUCGACGCCGAAGGUACAGCGUUGGUGAAAAUUUGGGUCCGCGUAUUUUCUCGACGCGGUUUGUCGUCUUCUCUAAAAGUGGACACAGAAAGGCGUCGAGUACUUGGCACAUGCUAGGCACGUGGUAGACUAAUAGUACUCCGCUUAAAAAAUUUUGGGGGAAAAACACCCACUCCCACCCCGUGUUAACUGAACCCUAGCCUCCCACUAAUCAACUUCUCUCUCAUCAAUUCGUAUUCUCGAAAAAUCACAGAUCCAUCAACUGAUUUCAACCACAGAUCGAGGGCUCUUUGGUUCCUAUUCGCGUUUUCCCUACGUUUGAAGCUUAUCUUGCUGAUGUAACUUAUUGAAGAUUUGGAAGGUAGCUUGGGAAAUCGUUAACCGUGUUUGGUUGAGGGUAAGUUUAUUUCUAAAAUUGCUGAAGAGAAGAUAAAGGCCGGAGAACGGUGGGGUUGUGCUUCUCGAUCACUGCCUAAGUGUUCUUUAUUUUUAGAUAUUAAAAUUUUGGUUAUAUAUUUGUGUUAGGAGGAACAUUUAUAUUCUUUUUUAUCUACAUCUGGGAUUUGCUUUUGUUGUUCUUAAUUCAUUCCAUUAAAUGAUAUGAACUAGUUUUCAGCAAAUUUGGUUUUUAUAUUUAUGUUAAAUCAGAUAUUUGGGAUGUUCAAAUUGUCUUCUUUUAAUUUGAUUGGAUGAUGCUUUAUGGUCUGUUAAGUUUGAAUUGAAUCUUGUUUGGGUGUCCAAAAACAGUAACAUAUGGGCAUUAUUUACAGCAAUUUGUUGUCUUGAGACUCAAGUGAGAUUGAAGUGAAGCUUUAGUGGAAGGCAAUUUUUCUGUCUCCUUGUAUUUUGUCAAUGAAUAUGGGUUCAUUUAUUGGUUUAAUGAAAUGAAUUUCAUAGUUUGACCAUAUUUGGCUUAAAUUUUAUGGCCAUUAGCACCACAUGAUUCCCAAUAGCGAAAUUACGGUCAUAUUCUACAGUAAUUGAGUUCAUUAAGCUGCCUGGGCUUAACAAUUGUUUGAUAUUCUCUGUACGAUGUUACUGAAUUUGCAGAUAUGAGAAGAAUAUCUUUCGUUUCAGUUUUUCAGUAUGUGUACCGAUUUAUUCAAUUAUUAUUACUAGCUUCUUUCAGAUUUAUUUUUUUCCAUCUUUAGGGUUUUAUCUGAGGAUUUCAUGUGUUCACUACAACAAAACACGCUAAUUCUCGACGACAUGAGCUCGACGCGGUACGUACAGCGUUGGGGAAAUUUUUGGUCUGUCCUCAAGCCUUUUAACUGAUUUGAAUAAUCAUCUAUAUGCUCCAGAUAUCAUAACAUGAGGGAUUGCCUCUGCUCCAGGCCUGCCAGCUAUGGAGAUGACCAAGCGGCUCAACAUCAUGAACUUGCUCUUCCCACAAGGGAUUGAAUGAAUACACUGAAGAUCAAGGAAAAUUCGACAGCCAAUGUACCAAGGCCCAACCCUCAAGGUCUUAUUACGUGUACCAUCAGGACAACAAAUUCUGAUCCAAUGAUAACCCUCAAGAUUCUGAUGAGGCAUUGAGAGAGCAUUGACUAGCGAUUAAUUUGAUGAUACUAGAUCUUGGAUGUAAUUGAGUUUGGAAAUUUUUACAGCAUCACUCUAGCUUGCGUGUUUUGUAAAUUAUGUUCAGAGGCUGCAAGAUAGGAUUGUGUGCUUCAAGAGUUGUUACUGUAAUCUAAGGAAAUUGACAGGAGAGAAACGGAUGACUGCCAUAAAGCUAAGGUUGCUAGAAAGGACAUCGAGUUGGGAUCCUAUAUUUAUUCGACGCCCUGUUGCUGCUCCAUCAUUGAUCAUAUAUUUUUUUAGAUAAUGUUUUUGAUAAGUAAUAGGUUUUAUAUGUGAGGGAUUUUUUAUGUAUGUGUACCUUUGUAAUUGAUAUUUUUAUAUUCUUAUUUUUGGAAAUAAAACAUGUUCCUGUUAAAGUCGUUGA